rnacentral:rRNA from 1 species
UUAAGCGACUAAGCGUACACGGUGGAUGCCCUGGCAGUCAGAGGCGAUGAAGGACGUGCUAAUCUGCGAAAAGCGCCGGCGAGGUGAUAUGAACCCUUGACCCGGCGAUGUCCGAAUGGGGAAACCCAGUGCAAUCCGUUGCACUAUCGUUAACUGAAUACAUAGGUUAACGAGGCGAACCGGGGGAACUGAAACAUCUAAGUACCCCGAGGAAAAGAAAUCAACCGAGAUUCCCCCAGUAGCGGCGAGCGAACGGGGAGCAGCCCGGAGUCUGAAUCAGCUUGUGUGUUAGUGGAACGGUCUGGAAAGUCCGACGGUACAGGGUGAUAGUCCCGUACACGAAAGCACACUUGCUGUGAACUCGAAGAGUAGGGCGGGACACGUGGUAUCCUGUCUGAAUAUGGGGGGACCAUCCUCCAAGGCUAAAUACUCCUGACUGACCGAUAGUGAACCAGUACCGUGAGGGAAAGGCGAAAAGAACCCCGGCGAGGGGAGUGAAAAAGAACCUGAAACCGUGUACGUACAAGCAGUGGGAGCCUCUUUAUGGGGUGACUGCGUACCUUUUGUAUAAUGGGUCAGCGACUUAUAUUCUGUAGCAAGGUUAACCGUAUAGGGGAGCCGAAGGGAAACCGAGUCUUAACUGGGCGUUAAGUUGCAGGGUAUAGACCCGAAACCCGGUGAUCUAGCCAUGGGCAGGUUGAAGGUUGGGUAACACUAACUGGAGGACCGAACCGACUAAUGUUGAAAAAUUAGCGGAUGACCUGUGGCUGGGGGUGAAAGGCCAAUCAAACCGGGAGAUAGCUGGUUCUCCCCGAAAGCUAUUUAGGUAGCGCCUCGUGAACUCAUCUUCGGGGGUAGAGCACUGUUUCGGCUAGGGGGCCAUCCCGGCUUACCAACCCGAUGCAAACUACGAAUACCGAAGAAUGUUAUCACGGGAGACACACGGCGGGUGCUAACGUCCGUCGUGAAGAGGGAAACAACCCAGACCGCCAGCUAAGGUCCCAAAGUCAUGGUUAAGUGGGAAACGAUGUGGGAAGGCACAGACAGCCAGGAUGUUGGCUUAGAAGCAGCCAUCAUUUAAAGAAAGCGUAAUAGCUCACUGGUCGAGUCGGCCUGCGCGGAAGAUGUAACGGGGCUAAACCAUGCACCGAAGCUGCGGCAGCGACGCUUAUGCGUUGUUGGGUAGGGGAGCGUUCUGUAAGCCGUUGAAGGUGGCCUGUGAGGGUUGCUGGAGGUAUCAGAAGUGCGAAUGCUGACAUAAGUAACGAUAAAGCGGGUGAAAAGCCCGCUCGCCGGAAGACCAAGGGUUCCUGUCCAACGUUAAUCGGGGCAGGGUGAGUCGACCCCUAAGGCGAGGCCGAAAGGCGUAGUCGAUGGGAAACAGGUUAAUAUUCCUGUACUUGGUGUUACUGCGAAGGGGGGACGGAGAAGGCUAUGUCAGCCGGGCGACGGUUGUCCCGGUUUAAGCAUGUAGGCGGAGGUUCCAGGUAAAUCCGGUACCUUUUAACGCUGAGGUGUGAUGACGAGGCACUACGGUGCUGAAGUGAUAAAUGCCCUGCUUCCAGGAAAAGCCUCUAAGCAUCAGGUAACACGAAAUCGUACCCCAAACCGACACAGGUGGUCAGGUAGAGAAUACCAAGGCGCUUGAGAGAACUCGGGUGAAGGAACUAGGCAAAAUGGUGCCGUAACUUCGGGAGAAGGCACGCUGAUGUGUAGGUGAAGCCCCUGCGGGUGGAGCUGAAAUCAGUCGAAGAUACCAGCUGGCUGCAACUGUUUAUUAAAAACACAGCACUGUGCAAACACGAAAGUGGACGUAUACGGUGUGACGCCUGCCCGGUGCCGGAAGGUUAAUUGAUGGGGUUAGCGGCAACGCGAAGCUCUUGAUCGAAGCCCCGGUAAACGGCGGCCGUAACUAUAACGGUCCUAAGGUAGCGAAAUUCCUUGUCGGGUAAGUUCCGACCUGCACGAAUGGCGUAAUGAUGGCCAGGCUGUCUCCACCCGAGACUCAGUGAAAUUGAACUCGCUGUGAAGAUGCAGUGUACCCGCGGCAAGACGGAAAGACCCCGUGAACCUUUACUAUAGCUUGACACUGAACACUGGUCCUUGAUGUGUAGGAUAGGUGGGAGGCUUUGAAGCGUGGACGCCAGUCUGCGUGGAGCCAACCUUGAAAUACCACCCUUUAAUGGCUGGUGUUCUAACGUAGACCCGUAAUCCGGGUUGCGGACAGUGUCUGGUGGGUAGUUUGACUGGGGCGGUCUCCUCCCAAAGAGUAACGGAGGAGCACGAAGGUUGGCUAAUCCUGGUCGGACAUCAGGAGGUUAGUGCAAUGGCAUAAGCCAGCUUGACUGCGAGCGUGACGGCGCGAGCAGGUGCGAAAGCAGGUCAUAGUGAUCCGGUGGUUCUGAAUGGAAGGGCCAUCGCUCAACGGAUAAAAGGUACUCCGGGGAUAACAGGCUGAUACCGCCCAAGAGUUCAUAUCGACGGCGGUGUUUGGCACCUCGAUGUCGGCUCAUCACAUCCUGGGGCUGAAGUAGGUCCCAAGGGUAUGGCUGUUCGCCAUUUAAAGUGGUACGCGAGCUGGGUUUAGAACGUCGUGAGACAGUUCGGUCCCUAUCUGCCGUGGGCGCUGGAGAAUUGAGGGGGGCUGCUCCUAGUACGAGAGGACCGGAGUGGACGCAUCACUGGUGUUCGGGUUGUCAUGCCAAUGGCACUGCCCGGUAGCUAAAUGCGGAAGAGAUAAGUGCUGAAAGCAUCUAAGCACGAAACUUGCCCCGAGAUGAGUUCUCCCUGAGACCUUGAGUCUCCUGAAGGAACGUUGAAGACGACGACGUUGAUAGGUCGGGUGUGUAAGCGCAGCGAUGCGUUGAGCUAACCGAUACUAAUGAACCGUGAGGCUUAACCUU